UACGUAGGUGGCAAGCGUUGUCCGGAUUUACUGGGCGUAAAGAGCGCGCAGGCGGUCGUUCAAGUCGCGUGUGAAAGCCCCCGGCUCAACUGGGGAGGGUCACGCGAUACUGAUCGACUCGAAGGCAGGAGAGGGUAGUGGAAUUCCUGGUGUAGCGGUGGAAUGCGCAGAUAUCAGGAGGAACACCGAUGGCGAAGGCAGAUCUCUGGGCCGUAACUGACGCUGAGGAGCGAAAGCGUGGGGAGCGAACAGG
rnacentral:rRNA from 1 species